rnacentral:rRNA from 1 species
GAUGAACGCUGGCGGCGUGCCUAAUACAUGCAAGUCGAGCGAACAGACGAGGAGCUUGCUCCUCUGACGUUAGCGGCGGACGGGUGAGUAACACGUGGAUAACCUACCUAUAAGACUGGGAUAACUUCGGGAAACCGGAGCUAAUACCGGAUAACAUGUUGAACCGCAUGGUUCAACAGUGAAGGACGGUCUUGCUGUCACUUAUAGAUGGAUCCGCGCCGCAUUAGCUAGUUGGUAAGGUAACGGCUUACCAAGGCAACGAUGCGUAGCCGACCUGAGAGGGUGAUCGGCCACACUGGAACUGAGACACGGUCCAGACUCCUACGGGAGGCAGCAGUAGGGAAUCUUCCGCAAUGGGCGAAAUCCUGACGGAGCAACGCCGCGUGAGUGAAGAAGGUCUUCGGAUCGUAAAACUCUGUUAUUAGGGAAGAACAAAUGUGUAAGUAACUAUGCACGUCUUGACGGUACCUAAUCAGAAAGCCACGGCUAACUGCGUG